UAAGCCCCUCUGUUAACUUUUGUUCAAGCCUGUCUAGAUCUUUUAUCAGUCUAGAAAGAUGUUGGAGAAAAGACAUCAUCCUCUUCUAUAAUCUCCAUCUGUAAUUGGACUAACAACUGGACCAGUGAAUGCAGGCAACUUACUCUCCAUUCGACCUUGCAGGUCACACCAUGGUCUCAAGAGGGAAAAUGAGUGCUCUAUGGAUUGAACAGAAAAAGGUGAAUCAAAACUCCAACCAUCUGUAUGAGGGUCUGGAUGGAUAAAGGAUGCCCACUGGAGCUGGAAAUGAUGGAUCAGGUGGAUCCACACUUGAACCAUCUGUAUGAUGAUCUGCACCCACUGGAUCUGUAAAUGGUGGUGCAGAAAGACACAGCACAUCAUUAUAUCGUUGGCUCCGCCCACUGGUGUUCAGUCUAAAGUAGUAGUUGUUGACAAUCAUAAAGUUGUAAUAACAGUAAGAUUGUGAUGUCAGACAAACAUUGUGCUGUUGCUGGCUGUGGGAAAUUAGUGUCUUUGUAAGGGUCGCAAAUAAUUUAAAAAUAUUUAUGUUU